ACCCGCACAAGCGGUGGAUGAUGUGGUUUAAUUCGAUGCAACGCGAAAACCUUACCCACCUUUGACAUGGCAGGAAUCCUGAAGAGAUUUGGGAGUGCUCGAAAGAGAACCUGCACACAGGUGCUGCAUGGCUGUCGUCAGCUCGUGUCGUGAGAUGUCGGGUUAAGUCCCCGCAACGAGCGCAACCCUUGCCAUUAGUUGCUACGAAAGGGCACUCUAAAUGGGACUGCCGGUGACAAACCGGAGGAAGGUGGGGAUGACGUCAAGUCCUCAUGGCCCUUAUAGGUGGGGCUACACACGUCAUACAAUGGCCGGUACAGAGGGUAGCCAACCCGCGAGGGGGAGCCAAUCCCACAAAGCCGGUCGUAGUCCGGAUCGCAGUCUGCAACUCGACUGCGUGAAGUCGGAAUCGCUAGUAAUCGUGGAUCAGCAUGUCACGGUGAAUACGUUCCCGGGUCUU
rnacentral:rRNA from 1 species